GACGAACGCUGGCGGCGUGCCUAACACAUGCAAGUCGAGCGAGUGGAUCUCCUUCGGGAGUGAAGCUAGCGGCGGACGGGUGAGUAACACGUGGGCAACCUGCCUCAUAGAGGGGAAUAGCCUUUCGAAAGGAAGAUUAAUACCGCAUAAGAUUGUAGCUUCGCAUGAAGUAGCAAUUAAAGGAGCAAUCCGCUAUGAGAUGGGCCCGCGGCGCAUUAGCUAGUUGGUGAGGUAACGGCUCACCAAGGCGACGAUGCGUAGCCGGCCUGAGAGGGUGAUCGGCCACAUUGGGGCUGAGACACCGCCCAGACUCCUACGGGAGGCAGCAGUGGGGAAUAUUGCACAAUGGGGGAAACCCUGAUGCAGCAACGCCGCGUGAGUGAUGACGGCCUUCGGGUUGUAAAGCUCUGUCUUCAGGGACGAUAAUGACGGUACCUGAGGAGGAAGCCACGGCUAACUACGUGCCAGCCGCCGCCGUAA
rnacentral:rRNA from 1 species